UGCAGUUUGAAUCUCAAAUACUAGUUCAGAGGAGGGUAACCCUGCAGCUGACCUCCUCAGUCGUCAGCCUGCUUUUGUCAUGGACAAGCGAAACUGUCCGGAUGGAGAGAAUUGGGACAUUCUCCUGAAGGUCUGUCUAAGCGAGCCGGUGGAAUCCAGCCAGCUUAGCCCCAGUCUGUGGAUUUGUGUGGUCCCGGUCAUCAUCGGGUCCUUUGUGAUUCUGGCCCUUUGGUGUGUCAUUUUAAGAAGAAAAAGCAGAAUCAGAAGUAACCCUGAAAAUGGAGCAACAGAACUGGAACUCCUACAGAAAACAAAGACCAAUUUUCAUCCACCAGUCUCCAAAACAAAUGGUCAGACAGAGAUGUUUCACAGUUCAGCAGAGCCCCCCUUAACAAUAGUUCAGUUUCAUGCUGAAGCCCAAACAGGAUCAAAGUGGAAGGAAGACCUGAUGGUGUGCAGGGGCCCCGAAAGGCAAGCGGUGCCUGUCUGCAGCACCAUGUUGGAUCACAGAGUCCCACUUCCUGCCACAGAACUGGGUGGCACUGCAUUGGUUACUACAAAAACAGUGUAGUUGUGUGUUUUUGUUCUCGUCUCUGAUACCUCAUUUCAGAACAACAGCAGAUUGAGCACUGGCCCGGUCUAUAACCCAAAGACUCUUGUGAUGAAACUGGCCAGUAUUGAAAAAUUGUGUGUUUAAUUUGAGUCUUUUCUUCGUGACAUUUCUAUAUAUUUCUUCUGUAGUGCAAGUUAUACACUGACCAAUCCGAUGCCUCAGUAAAAGUAUGUGGCCUCACAUCAAACGUUCGAAACAUGUGACAGAUUCUCCCAAACCAGCUUUCAAGUGGUAGGGUUGUGGACAGCCAACAAGCUUUCUAUUGAUUGGUGAAAGUGGUUGCCAUAGAAAUGAUGACUUAGACGCAUUCGGACCAAUCACUGCAUACUGACAAUUUCUAGUUCCAACAUGACAACAGAACUGAUUUCAUUUCAUUGGAACCAGAAGCAAGUCAUUUUGAGCUUCACUUGGUCCAGUUCUCAUUUACAGUCAAAGGCUAAAUCAAGUCCUACAAAGAUUGUUUUUAGAAAUGUAACAUCAGAAAGCAACACUCAGUGACAGGAUUCCUAGAAGUUAAUGUGAGAUUUGAUCAUGGAAAACAUCUAACAUACAAACACUUUAUUAAUUUAUUAGCAACAACAACAUGGGGGGUGAGUGAACAUUGCAUUUUCUAAAAGUAUCAUAACCCAAGCUUAGUGUGUCUGGGCCUUUAGAAUUUGGGCUUGACUUAGGUUACGUGAUGUUGGUCUAGUUCCAGUAUGUUGAGAUGUCUGAUGUACCUUGUUUUAAUAGUUUUCUGAAAUGUAUAGGUUAUCUAUGCUUAUGUAGUCUUUGAAAUUGUUGUAUAGCGAUGCUUUUGAAAGCUGUAUGUACUCUUCUCUCACAGUGAUAUAAAAAAAUAUUAGAAUCCUCAGCCUUGUCCCACAUCUCAAUCAUAUGAUGGCACAGUGGUUAGUGCUCUUACCUCUGGUUCAACUUCCAGCUGGAGCCUUUCUGUGUGGAGUUUGUAUGUUCAUUCCACCUGUGUUUCCUUCCACUCUCCAAAAACAUGCUUCAAAAGUUGAUUGAGUACUCUAAAUAGCCCCUUGGUUUGUGUGUGUGAUUGCAUGGCCCUGCAACAAACUUGUAACCUGUCCAGGGUGUACCCUGCCAUCACCCAACAGUAGCCAGGUUAGGCUCAGGCAGCCCUAAAAGGGAUGCAGCAGGUUGAGAAAAUGAUCACGGAGGAAUCUUGGUGUUCAACUAUUGCAGUUCUCAUUUUUAUUUCUUUUGUUGUUUUCAUCAGGUCUAGUCAAAUAAAUAUGUGUUCUUUUGGA